rnacentral:rRNA from 1 species
UACGUAGGGGGCAAGCGUUGUCCGGAUUUACUGGGCGUAAAGGGCGCGUAGGCGGCCACCGCAAGUCGAUUGUGAAAUCUCCGGGCUUAACCCGGAAAGGUCAACCGAUACUGCGGGGCUAGAGUGCAGAAGGGGCAACUGGAAUUCUCGGUGUAGCGGUGAAAUGCGUAGAUAUCGAGAGGAACACCUGCGGCGAAGGCGGGUUGCUGGGCUGACACUGACGCUGAGGCGCGAAAGCUAGGGGAGCGAACGGG